rnacentral:lncRNA from 1 species
CUCAAGCCCAGCAGCCCAGCUGCUGAGGGACAGAGGGGUGUUCACUCCUCUUUGCUGCUGCUGUUCAUCUGUUUAGAGGAGUUUGGCUCCUCUAAACAAGGGAAGCCAGGGUCACUGGUUCAGGCACUGUGAUGUUGGGGAGCUAACCAAGAGAAAAGCUUGGUGCCUGUCCACAGCCUUGGGCAGGGCUCUAUCGGUGGCUGUCUUGGUCCCCAGGAGGAAAGAGUUUGAGGAUGGUUUCCUGCAGCUACAAACAUAACUGCUUAAGGCACCAGCAGAUAAAUGAUAGAUAGAUAGAUAAAAUAGAUUUGAUAGAUUAGAUAGAUGGAUGGUGGAUGGUCAGGUAGGUAGGUGGAUGAGCAGGUGGCUAGGUGGAUGGUUAGGGGGCUGGGCAGGUAGGUAGGUGGAUGAGCAGGUGGCUAGGUGGAUGGUUAGGUGGAUGGAUAGGUAGGUAGGUGAAUGAGCAGGUGGCUAGGUGGAUGAGCAGGCGGCUAGGUGGAUGGGUAGGUAGGUAGGUGAAUGAGCAGGUGGUUAGGUGGAUGGUUAGGUGGAUGAGCAGAUGGUUAGGUGGAUGGGUAGGUAGGUAGGUGAAUGAGCAGGUGGCUAGGUGGAUGGGCAGGUAGGUAGGUGGCUGAGCAGGUGGCUAGGUGGAUGGUUAGGUGGAUGGGUAGGUAGGUAGGUGAAUGAGCAGGUGGCUAGGUGGAUGGGUUGGUGGAUGGAUGGAUGGGUAGGUGGUUGGGUAGAUUGGUGAAUGGGUGGAUAGGUAGGUAGAUGGGUGCCUAGAUAGGCAGAUGGGUAAAUGGUUAGGUGGAUGAGUGGAUGGCUUGGUGGGUAGGUGGAUGGGUAGGUAGAUAGGUAGAUAGGUGGGUGAAUGGGCAGAUGGCUAGAUGGGUAGAUGGUUAGGUGAAUGGGUAGAUGGGUAGGUAGAUGGGUAGAUGGGUGGGUGAAUGGGCAGAUGGCUAGAUGGGUAGAUGGUUAGGUGAAUGGGUAGAUGGGUAGGUAGAUGGGUAGAUGGGUGGACGGUGGGUAGAUGGCUGGGUGGAUGGGUGAAUAGGUAGGUGGAUGGGUAGAUGGGCUGGCCAGGGCUAUACCUUGGAGCAGUCAUCCUUGCCUUUGCCAACCCUAUGAGGCCCAGGUGACUGCACUCCCCUGUAGGCCCUACAUGGGCUUAUUUAUUUCAUGUUUUUGAAAAGCACUUUUUCUGUGACUUCCCCCAUUAUUAAGAUAAUACACAGUUAUUGUUUAACAUUUUAAAGUUACAGAAAAACCCAAAGACCAAUCAAAAUUCUGUGUCAUAACCAAGAGAUCACCAUUAUUAACAUUUCGGGGUAUACCCUUUUCUGUGCAUUUAUUGACAUAUGCAUCUAUUUUUUAUAAAGUUGGGAUCACACAGGACUCAUACUGCUUUAUAAGAAGCUUGGUUCACUUAAUAUUAUGCCUUGGGUACUUUUUUAUGUUCACCAAAUGCUUUUGAAUAAGAUGUAUCUUAAAGUCUUUCAGAAUUUUCCUUUUCUCCAGCUGAACUUAGCCACUUUCCUACCUGUGUUACCAUGAGCAAAUUAGCUUCAGUUUCCUCAUCUGUAAAAGGAGGGUUAACAACAGUGUCUGUGUCGGGGUUGUUGGGAGGGCAGGUGUGGCAGUGUGUGCCUGUCAGUAAGAACAGUGUCCUUUCUCUCCCUGGGGCCUGUCACACCUCCUGCCUAUAUUCACCCACCCAUCCACCCAUCUACCUAAUUCACUUGGUUAGUGUCUGCCUCAAGGGGUGCAAAUUUGGUUUUCUUCCAAGGGCACAGAUUUCUACUAAGACAGACACAGAAACACAAGGAAGAAGCUGUUUGCUCCUCUGGAGAGCCAGGGCCUGCCAGCUAUGUAGUCCUGAUGUGUGGAUGUGUCUUCAUCAUAGUGCAGGGUGAUUCUCUCAGUCAGUUCUACCUCAACCUCCACCUCCCUGGGGCGGGGAAACCCCGCAGAAGUUGGCUUCAUUUUGAUUUUUUUGUUGUUUGCCUUGUCCCCGCCCUCGCUCUCAGUGUUAAAUAUUUAACUAACUACAUAGAGGAAAUUAAGCCUCAAAAUCACCAAAAAUGCAAAGAACCCUUUGAUCAUAAAACACGUUAACUAUUUACAGGACCCUGAUACUUCCGUUGAGCCAUCUCCUUAUUCACUGCCCUCAUCCUUGUGCCACUUCCUUUUCUAACUAGAAAAGUACAAUCCUAGCUGGGCACAGCGGCUCAUGCCUGUAAUCCCAGCACUUUGGGAGGCUGAGGUGGGCGGAUCACCUGAGGUCGGGAGU